GAAAUAAUAAAAAUUUAAGCUGCUAACUUAAAAUAAAGCGUAAAUAACGUUUUUAUUUCU
rnacentral:tRNA from 1 species